rnacentral:rRNA from 1 species
GACGAACGCUGGCGGCGUGCUUAACACAUGCAAGUCGAACGGAAAGGCCCUGCUCUUGUGGGGUGCUCGAGUGGCGAACGGGUGAGUAACACGUGAGUAACCUGCCCUUGACUUUGGGAUAACUUCAGGAAACUGGGGCUAAUACCGGAUAGGAGCUCCUGCUGCAUGGUGGGGGUUGGAAAGUUUCGGCGGUUGGGGAUGGACUCGCGGCUUAUCAGCUUGUUGGUGGGGUAGUGGCUUACCAAGGCUUUGACGGGUAGCCGGCCUGAGAGGGUGACCGGCCACAUUGGGACUGAGAUACGGCCCAGACUCCUACGGGAGGCAGCAGUGGGGAAUAUUGCACAAUGGGCGGAAGCCUGAUGCAGCAACGCCGCGUGCGGGAUGACGGCCUUCGGGUUGUAAACCGCUUUCGCUUGUGACGAAGCGUGAGUGACGGUAAUGGGUAAAGAAGCACCGGCUAACUACGUG